UGUUCUUGUUAUGGAAGUCCUUGGUGCAGCCUCUUUAGGAUUGCCUUAAGGUCGUACCACGAUUGGGAGCCCUAUAUAAGCAAUCAGGAAGGACCGAGGAGAAAAAGAAGCCGUAUCCAAAAACCAAAUGGACCAAUGCGAUCACCUUACGCGAUAAUCUGCCCAAUUUUAGGAUUCAAUCUCGUACUUGCCUAGUUCGUGCGAAUUGAUCAUUCAUCAUUAUUCAGCCUAGAUCACGACCUACACCUAGAAAGGUCGAUAGAUCCAGAGCAAACUGUGAACCUCCUACCGGUUUCUUGCGACGUAUCAGUUUGGCUGCGACGCCUAAAGUGUCACUGCCAUCGGGAUGUCGCAUGACACGCGCCAAAAACAAUUGCCGCCAAUAACCCGAAAAUAGAGAGAGGGGCUAGUCAGCAGCUUCAAAAAUUAGAAACAUCCUUGUUCUUCCGUCAUUGUCCUGGAUAAGACUUUCCCGAAAUGAUCGGUGUCGACCAUGACUACGAGCGCUGGCAACAUCCAUUGAAAGUUGAGAGAGAGAGAGAGAGAGAGUAGAAAAACGUUGGCCACCUUAUCGGUCCUACAUUCGAUGCAGCAAUACGAAGAAAUCACCUUUGACAUGAGAUAUUGCACAUGUAAUCGUUGACUACCCUACCGAAUCGUAUCCAUCAAGACGCGUUUCAAUCAAGCAUCAAGAAGGCAUUUACUACAGCGGACGACACGCAUUACAGUAGCAUCUGUGUUUCGUGCGGUAUCGCCGUUAGGUGUUCCAUCAAACGGCUGAUUCCCUGUGUGACAGGAAUCGUGUAUCUAUGCCCGGGUUCGAACCCAGAUGUUACGGUAGCUUGCGUGCCUUCAACUAUACUUUUGACUCCGACGAAAAAACCUUGCUACAUUGUA